rnacentral:rRNA from 1 species
AUACGUAGGGUGCGAGCGUUGUCCGGAAUUACUGGGUGUAAAGAGCUCGUAGGUGGUUUGUCGCGCCGUCUGUGAAAUUCCGGGGCUUAUCUCCGGGCGUGCAGGCGAUACGGGCAUAACUUGAGUACUGUAGGGGAGACUGGAAUUCCUGGUGUAGCGGUGAAAUGCGCAGAUAUCAGGAGGAACGCCGGUGGCGAGGGCGGGUCUCGGGGCAGUAACUGACUCUGAGGAGCGAAAGCAUGGGUAGCGAACAGGAUUGGAUACCCUGGUAGUACAUGCCGUAAACGGUGGUCGCUAGGUGUAGGGGUCUUCCACGACUUCUGUACCGUAGCUAACGCAUUAAGCGCCCCGCCUGGGGAGUACGGCCGCAAGGCUAAAACUCAAAGGAAUUGACGGGG